UGAGUAACGCGUGGGAAUCUACCGUGCCCUGCGGAAUAGCUCCGGGAAACUGGAAUUAAUACCGCAUACGCCCUACGGGGGAAAGAUUUAUCGGGGUAUGAUGAGCCCGCGUUGGAUUAGCUAGUUGGAGGGGUAAAGGCCUACCAAGGCGACGAUCCAUAGCUGGUCUGAGAGGAUGAUCAGCCACAUUGGGACUGAGACACGGCCCAAACUCCUACGGGAGGCAGCAGUGGGGAAUAUUGGACAAUGGGCGCAAGCCUGAUCCAGCCAUGCCGCGUGAGUGAUGAAGGCCUUAGGGUUGUAAAGCUCUUUCACCGGUGAAGAUAAUGACGGUAACCGGAGAAGAAGCCCCGGCUAACUUCGUGCCAGCAGCCGCGGUAAUACGAAGGGGGCUAGCGUUGUUCGGAAUUACUGGGCGUAAAGCGCACGUAGGCGGAUAUUUAAGUCAGGGGUGAAAUCCCAGAG
rnacentral:rRNA from 1 species